AAAUUUCCAAUAUGAGGAAGGAACAAAGGCAAGCAAAACCAUUAUACAUCCUACAGAUACUGAAGAGAAUAUUCUAAAAGCCCUGGACCUAUAAAUUUAACAAUUUUUAUAAAAUGAACGAAUUCUUCGAAAAAUACAACUUAACAAAAUGGACAGUAAAAAUACAAAAUAUGAUUAAUACAAAUCCUGCUAUGAAUAUAUACCUAACCAAACGACACACAGAAUAUUCAUAGCAGGAUUAUUUUUAAUACCUAAAAAUCUGGAAAUAGCUCAAAUAUUCGUAACCAGUAGAAUGUAUAAACUACAGUAUGUCCAUGCAAUGGAAUACUAUACAGCAAGAAUGAACAAACUACAAGUUUAUGCGACAACAUGAGUAAAUCUCGCAACAUGAAAUUGCAUAAAAAGAGCCAAAUACAAAACAAGCACCUUUUGUAUGAUUACAUGCAUAACAAGUUCA
rnacentral:lncRNA from 1 species